rnacentral:rRNA from 1 species
AUAUGGUCAAGUGAAGAAGCGCAUACGGUGGAUGCCUUGGCAGUCAGAGGCGAUGAAAGACGUGGUAGCCUGCGAAAAGCUUCGGGGAGUCGGCAAACAGACUUUGAUCCGGAGAUGUCUGAAUGGGGGAACCCAGCCAUCAUAAGAUGGUUACCUUACACUGAAUACAUAGGUGUAUGGAGCGAACCAGGGGAACUGAAACAUCUAAGUACCCUGAGGAAAAGAAAUCAACCGAGAUUCCCUUAGUAGUGGCGAGCGAACGGGGACUAGCCCUUAAGUGGCUUUGAGAUUAGCGGAACGCUCUGGAAAGUGCGGCCAUAGUGGGUGAUAGCCCUGUACGCGAAAAUCUCUUAGUCAUGAAAUCGAGUAGGACGGAGCACGAGAAACUUUGUCUGAAUAUGGGGGGACCAUCCUCCAAGGCUAAAUACUACUGACUGACCGAUAGUGAACUAGUACCGUGAGGGAAAGGCGAAAAGAACCCCGGAGAGGGGAGUGAAAUAGAUCCUGAAACCGUAUGCGUACAAGCAGUGGGAGCCCACUUUGUUGGGUGACUGCGUACCUUUUGUAUAAUGGGUCAGCGACUUAUUUUCAGUGGCGAGCUUAACCGAAUAGGGGAGGCGUAGCGAAAGCGAGUCUUAAUAGGGCGUCUAGUCGCUGGGAAUAGACCCGAAACCGGGCGAUCUAUCCAUGGGCAGGUUGAAGGUUGGGUAACACUAACUGGAGGACCGAACCGACUACCGUUGAAAAGUUAGCGGAUGACCUGUGGAUCGGAGUGAAAGGCUAAUCAAGCUCGGAGAUAGCUGGUUCUCCUCGAAAGCUAUUUAGGUAGCGCCUCAUGUAUCACUGUAGGGGGUAGAGCACUGUUUCGGCUAGGGGGUCAUCCCGACUUACCAAACCGAUGCAAACUCCGAAUACCUACAAGUGCCGAGCAUGGGAGACACACGGCGGGUGCUAACGUCCGUCGUGAAAAGGGAAACAACCCAGACCGUCAGCUAAGGUCCCAAAGUUAUGGUUAAGUGGGAAACGAUGUGGGAAGGCUUAGACAGCUAGGAGGUUGGCUUAGAAGCAGCCACCCUUUAAAGAAAGCGUAAUAGCUCACUAGUCGAGUCGGCCUGCGCGGAAGAUGUAACGGGGCUCAAACCAUACACCGAAGCUACGGGUAUCACGUAAGUGAUGCGGUAGAGGAGCGUUCUGUAAGCCUGUGAAGGUGAGUUGAGAAGCUUGCUGGAGGUAUCAGAAGUGCGAAUGCUGACAUGAGUAACGACAAUGGGUGUGAAAAACACCCACGCCGAAAGACCAAGGUUUCCUGCGCAACGUUAAUCGACGCAGGGUUAGUCGGUCCCUAAGGCGAGGCUGAAAAGCGUAGUCGAUGGAAAACAGGUUAAUAUUCCUGUACUUCUGGUUAUUGCGAUGGAGGGACGGAGAAGGCUAGGCCAGCUUGGCGUUGGUUGUCCAAGUUUAAGGUGGUAGGCUGAGAUCUUAGGUAAAUCCGGGAUCUUAAGGCCGAGAGCUGAUGACGAGUCGUCUUUUAGACGACGAAGUGGUUGAUGCCAUGCUUCCAAGAAAAGCUUCUAAGCUUCAGGUAACCAGGAACCGUACCCCAAACCGACACAGGUGGUUGGGUAGAGAAUACCAAGGCGCUUGAGAGAACUCGGGUGAAGGAACUAGGCAAAAUGGCACCGUAACUUCGGGAGAAGGUGCGCCGGUGAGGGUGAAGGACUUGCUCCGUAAGCUCAUGCCGGUCGAAGAUACCAGGCCGCUGCGACUGUUUAUUAAAAACACAGCACUCUGCAAACACGAAAGUGGACGUAUAGGGUGUGACGCCUGCCCGGUGCCGGAAGGUUAAUUGAUGGGGUUAGCUAACGCGAAGCUCUUGAUCGAAGCCCCGGUAAACGGCGGCCGUAACUAUAACGGUCCUAAGGUAGCGAAAUUCCUUGUCGGGUAAGUUCCGACCUGCACGAAUGGCGUAACGAUGGCGGCGCUGUCUCCACCCGAGACUCAGUGAAAUUGAAAUCGCUGUGAAGAUGCAGUGUAUCCGCGGCUAGACGGAAAGAGACCCCGUGAACCUUUACUAUAGCUUUGCACUGGACUUUGAAUUUGCUUGUGUAGGAUAGGUGGGAGGCUUUGAAGCGUGGACGCCAGU